rnacentral:rRNA from 1 species
AAAUUGAAGAGUUUGAUCAUGGCUCAGAUUGAACGCUGGCGGCAGGCCUAACACAUGCAAGUCGAGCGGAAACGAGUUAUCAGAACCUUCGGGGAACGAUAGCGGCG